rnacentral:rRNA from 1 species
AUUCCAGCUCCAAUAGCGUAUAUUAAAGUUGUUGCGGUUAAAAAGCUCGUAGUUGGAGUUCUGCCAGGUGGCACUCGUCCGCCCAAGUGGUGUGUACAGGGCGUGCAUCUGGCCCUUUCAAGGGGAACGUGUCUGCACUUCAUUGUGUGGUGCGAGAUCCUUGACUUUUACUUUGAGGAAAUUAGAGUGUUCAAGGCAGGCUAUAGCCCUGAAUACACAAGCAUGGAAUAAUGAAAUAGGACUGGUUCCAUUUUAUUGGUUAUUGGACUAGUAAUGAUUAACAGGGACAGUUGGGGCAUUAGUAUUUAAUUGUCAGAGGUGAAAUUCUUGGAUCUAUUAAAGACUAACUUAUGCGAAAGCAUUUGCCAAGGAUGUUUUCAUCA